rnacentral:misc_RNA from 1 species
GUAGGUGAACCUGCGGAAGGAUCAUUAUUGAAUAAACUUGGUUGGGUUGCUGCUGGUUCUUCGGAGCAUGUGCACGCUCACUCCAUUUUUAACCACCUGUGCACCUUGUGUAGAUCUGAACAACUCUCGGGGAAACUCGGUCAGAGGAUUGCUGUGUGUAAAAGCCAGCUUUUCUUGGGUUCAGAUCUAUGUCUCUAUAUACACCAUAAGAAUGUAUUGGAAUGUAAUUUUAGGCGUUACAGCCUGUAAAAUCAAAUACAACUUUCAACAACGGAUCUCUUGGCUCUC